CGGUUCCCCCGCGGCGAAUGGUCGUAAACCCCGCCAGGCCCGGAAGGGAGCAACGGUAGCGAUUCAUUCGGGCGCCGGGGUGUCGCUG
rnacentral:SRP_RNA from 1 species